rnacentral:rRNA from 1 species
CCUACGGGUGGCAGCAGUGAGGAAUAUUGGUCAAUGGACGAGAGUCUGAACCAGCCAAGUAGCGUGAAGGAUGACUGCCCUAUGGGUUGUAAACUUCUUUUAUAUGGGAAUAAAAUGUUCCACGUGUGGGAUUUUGUAUGUACCAUAUGAAUAAGGAUCGGCUAACUCCGUGCCAGCAGCCGCGGUAAUACGGAGGAGCCGAGCGUUAUCCGGAUUUAUUGGGUUUAAAGGGAGCGUAGGUGGAUUGUUAAGUCAGUUGUGAAAGUUUGCGGCUCAACCGUAAAAUUGCAGUUGAAACUGGCAGUCUUGAGUACAGUAGAGGUGGGCGGAAGUCGUGGUGUAGCGGUGAAAUGCUUAGAUAUCACGAAGAACUCCGAUUGCGAAGGCAGUUCACUGGACUGCAACUGACACUGAGGCUCGAAAGUGUGGGUAUCAAACAGGAUUAGAUACCCCAGUAGUC